CCUUCCGUGUGUAGUGAGUCCCAACCUCCUCAUUGUAUACCGUAUGACUUAUUAGCAUGUUUGUCAUUACAGUCCAUUGAUGAACUGUCAAAUAGAAUGAUUUGUAAUCAGUUGGAGUACUUUAUAGAUAGUAGUUAAUUUGCAUGAUGAUGAGAGUUAUACAACGGUAGUACCGGCAGUGUCCAAAAUAGCCGGUUAGGGAAUUCGCAUCUCGGAGAGCAAGUCCUGAGACUAUAAUGUAAGUUAUUUAGUGUACUGUACUGUGAAUUAUUAUAAUAAAUUGAAUUCGUUGCAGUCUUGAAGCUGCAGAUACAGUGAGCUGCUAUCGAGAAGUUUCACUCUUUCCCGAGAAAGUUGCGUCCCCUAACAAACUUCAAGAAUUAUAUCUUACCUGAGUCGAGGUAGAUAUGGAUUCCAACGGUAGAUGCGCCACCCGUAACGAACGGAUAAAGCUACGGCUAAAAUUGUUAGAAGAGCGGCACCUACAAAGUAUGGUACAGUAUGAAGAAGCCAUUCGUCACUCACAAGAGCAAUAUGCGCGGAGCUUGGAGCAGAUCGAGCAAGCAACAAAGGAAGCCGCUAAAAAACUCGGGGAACACCGUAGAAGUAAGAGGAGUGCUAAGGUUAUGGAGCAUUGCAGGGAAGAUGUCGGCGAAGUUAUGCCAGUUGCGCACGAUUCGUUGAGUGACAGACCCCUGCCUGAGUAUACCUGCGGUCCUUCUCCACUAGUCGAUGGAAUAAGACCGAGCCACCAUUACUCGACCCAAAAAGUCGUUCAGUCAAGUAGGGCCUUACACACCACGGCGACCACUGAGGAUGUUGAAUUGGCUCUACGUCAGAUGUCAACUCAAGAAGUCGUGAGGAAGUUACACUAUGAAAAUGUUAAGCUUCGUAGUAAGGAGCAGGCUACAGUACAGCCAGUAAAUCCAGCCACAGCCUACUUCAGAUGGAGUUUUUCCAAUACGGUUGUAUAUGAUCCAAUAAGCGAUUCUGAUGAAAUUUUCAUCCCGUCACAAUCCAAUUGUUUCCCCUCCGUGGCCCGAACAGAAGAAGCGAACACAGCGACCACAAAAGUUUUUCAGCUAGAUGUGUGUCCAAAGCUUAAAGUAGUGGUCAAUAAGCAAAGGAAGCAUUCAGUUUGGACCCUUUGGAAGUACGAUAAAACCAAAAGGCUGUUUUAUGGAUAUGUAAUCUCAAAACUAUCGAGGAUUGACAAUCGAAACAUUAACUAUGGAUUAUUGGCUGGUAGGGGGGCAUGGAAAACCAAUACCAUACCGGUCACUCAAGUAGCCAGCGAAUUUAAUAAUGACUACGCCAAUACAAAGCCAACUUGCUACAACCAUCUGCCAGAACACUAUACUUCGAAAUCUCGCAUGUACAAGAGAGAACCAAUACGAAAAACAGUUACUAUACGCCAUGUAUCAUCUACAUACACAUCAUCCAGAUGUACAACAGACGGUUUAGUACCAAUAGUCGUUUUCGUAAACAGCUUCGUACGCCUACGAGAAAAUGGCCGAGUAUUGGAGUUUGAAGUAGUGGACUGUAUUUCAAGAGAAGGUUAUAAUCUACUAAGAAGCACUGAAGGUUCGGGAUUCGAUCCGGGUGGAUCGAAUAUUAGUACACAGUUACAAACACAACGCAUUAUGUCUGAGAGGGGAUUGGCUCUUGCGAUGCAGAUCAAGCUUUUUGGGAUCAUGUGUGAUUCUGUAUCAACACCGAUUUGUAUGGGUAGCCGAUACGAGAGCAUUUUGUUGCGAUGGGAGAUUGAUAACAACGAUAAUUCCGAGGGAGAACGAGAGCGUACUACUACAGCAUCGAUGUUCAUGGUUCACAGCAACGGGUUACAUCUCGGAAUAGAGAAGCGAUGCCAUAGUGUGUACGAUAGUUGCCGUUCCAUCGAAACAGCUGUUCUAUGUAGAAACGAAUACUGUAUGGCUAAUAGAAAAUUCAGUAUCCUGCAAAUGUGGUUAUUCAGAGCCGAACUGUCAAUGAAUCCAGCAAUAUUUGCGAUCUUGUUUUCGGUUCAGAUGGUUCUUCUACAUUCCCACUGGAAAGGUGAUCAGUAUAUGGGUCUCGAAUUAUUAAUUUUAUUAGAGUAAAACCUGUUGGGUACUAUUACGAAAUGAUGUGUAUGGGAAUCCAAACAUCGGAUCAUUCAGACCUCUAAAGUUUAAGUUAAAAGAUGGUUCAAAGGAAAUCUUUGUGAAAUCAUCUGCUUACAUACUUAGGAAUAGGUUAAAGAUUCUACACCAUGUUUACAGAAAUCAUAAGAACAAAUUUCGUCCAGCUUCUAUACGUAAAGGCAAUGACAAAGUUGGGACUACACGGGUGGGGGUAUGUUGGAAAUUACACAGCGAUUUCCUUCCGUGUGUAGUGAGUCCCAACCUCCUCAUUGUAUACCGUAUGACUUAUUAGCAUGUUUGUCAUUACAGUCCAUUGAUGAACUGUCAAAUAGAAUGAUUUGUAAUCAGUUGGAGUACUUUAUAGAUAGUAGUUAAUUUGCAUGAUGAUGAGAGUUAUACAACGGUAGUACCGGCAGUGUCCAAAAUAGCCGGUUAGGGAAUUCGCAUCUCGGAGAGCAAGUCCUGAGACUAUAAUUCUUGAAGCUGCAGAUACAGUGAGCUGCUAUCGAGAAGUUUCACUCUUUCCCGAGAAAGUUGCGUCCC